AAGGGGGUUGGGUUUGUUUGAGUCUUCUGUGUGGUUAAUACAUUGUAGCAAUGUUUACCUUUCAGAAAUCAAAGUUAGAAAUCUGGAAUUAUGUUGUGUCAAUGGUGCACUAUGUUCAGCAACAUUUUGUGAGCUCUACUAUGUGCCCAACUACAACAUCCCUAGGAAAACAAAGAGGAAUAAGAUAUGGUCAAGUCCCUUCAGGGGCUUUCAGCUGAAUGUCAGAGACAAAGAGGAAAACUUCACAGUCAUAUGAUGGGCAUGUGCUCUUUUAAAAACAUGAACAGUGCACAAUGAGAGGGAGUGACACAUUCUCUGGGAAGACAGGGGAGUAAAAUCUUUUGGAAAAUCCAAAAUGAGGGAGGCAGAUUGUGUCAUGAGAGGCUUUGGGGUACCAUGUUGGGAAAUUUCAGUGGGUGGGAUUUGACCCAAAGAGCACACUAAGAGGUAUCAUCAAGAGGUGGCCUAGUAGGUGGCCCUGGAUUAUUCUUAAUGCAGGGAUUAUCCACAUGUGCAGAUGUGUGAGUAAUCCCUGCAUUUAAUAAUAAUCCGUGGCUUCCUUUAAUAAGCUCUCUUUGUACACUUGAUUUGUGACAAAUCUUUUUCUUUUCUGCAGUUUUUGUGGAUCACACCCUUUCUGAAAAAUGUCUAUUCUCUUACAGACUUUGAGGAUGUAGAUUGUAUAAAACAAUAGAGCUGAUCUCACCUGUCUUCCAGAUGAGAAAAAACCUCUUUAACCAAGUUUGGAGAGUCAGAUACUGGCUGGAGUCUUGGUGCUAAGUUCUUGUUCCAACAUUGGACACCAUUACAGGUGAAGGCCAGGACUUUGUUUAACCCCUUCCCACUGCAGUUUUAGCAUACUUUAAUUGUUCCAAGAUGUCCUAGAAGCUAACUAUAUGUCUCCAAGUCUAUCACCCAUUUUGAUGUUCUCUCUUGGCAUGCUCGGUGCACAGAUAUAACCUUAUCCACAAGCAUUUCAUAUGAAAGGCUGUUUUGGGGACAGAUGCUGUACUCCAGCGAUAUUGACACACUGACUCACAGUCUCUCGGUUUUGUAACCCCAAUUACCCUUAAAGGAUAAUUAGGUUUUAAUUUAUGUCCUAGUUUUUAUGUCACAAUCAAAGAAAACUGAAAUUUCAGUGAGUCGUAAUUGUCAUCAGCUGUGCUUUGGAAACAUUCCAAUGAGAGCUAUCAGUUUCCAAUGGGGGAAGCAAUUUCCUGAGGUGAUUAAUGUAUAUUUCAAUUUGGAGAAUGGUCUAUAUUUUUGGACAGGGUGAGCCAGCAAUGGAUCAGGGCAAUAAUUCCUAGAGAAAAGGUCAUUUUCUUGGCUAAUUCCAGGAGUCAAUAUGAAAAUGAAAGAGCAAUAAACAUGCCACCAGAUUACUUUUUAAUGGCUAAGUGAUGUACCUGUUUAGGAGUAAAAGAAAUGAAUGCACCUAUUACUACAAAUCCAAGGUAGUAGUAAAUCUAAAGCCCAAGAGGAGUUCAGGUUAUGAAGUCCCAUUGGAGAGAAACAUCUAGGGUCAUUAUAAAAGUAUGGAAUGAUUAUGUAGUCUCCUGCCUGCAAAAAUCUGACAGUGAGAUAUGGCCACCAAAAUAGCUAACCGCAAGGAUGUGCUUAUCAUAAGAACAUCCACUCCUGGAAAUUCAGAGAUUCACAGUUUCACCUUUUGCAUGUGUAAUGCCUGUGGGAUAUAAAUAACUCUCCCCUAAAGCCUUCUUCUUGAGUAGCAUAUUUGCAUAAAGCUACAGCCUCAGAAAACUUCUGACACCUUUCGCACACACACAGAAAAAAUUGUUCAUUUCCUUAAAGGGUGAGCUGGCUAAGGUACACAGAAAGCAGGGGUGGGGUGGGCAAGGAGGCCCUCCCUGUCUUCCCCCCAACUUUUUUUUUCUUCUCAAGCCAUGUUCCCAGUCUUUCCUGUGUUAACUGGAGAGGCGUUCAUCCAAAAGGCAAAAAUGGACUGUUUGGUGUUGGAGGCUGAGCAGAGGUGGGCAAAAAGGAACAGAAGGAGAGUAACUGGUGAAGAAGGAGCAAAGAGUGAGGCACAAAAUGAAGUCUCACCAUGUUGCCCAAGCUGGUCUC
rnacentral:lncRNA from 1 species